AGAGUUUGAUCAUGGCUCAGGACGAACGCUGGCGGCGUGCUAACACAUGCAAGUCGAGCGGUCGAUUGCCUGGCACCGUGUAUCCCGGGGAAAGGACCCGGGUACAGGGUGCCGGGUGAUCGAUAGCGGCGGACGGGUGAGUAACACGUGGGUAACCUGCCUCACACAAGGGGAUAACACUGGGAAACUAGUGCUAAUACCGUAUAACAUAUGGCUGGGGCAUCCUGGUCAUAUCAAAGGUUCUCGAAGGGGAGCCGGUGUGAGAUGGGCCCGCGGCCGAUUAGCUAGUUGGCAGGGUAACGGCCUACCAAGGCGACGAUCGGUAGCCGGACUGAGAGGUUGGACGGCCACAUUGGGACUGAGACACGGCCCAGACUCCUACGGGAGGCAGCAGUGGGGAAUAUUGCGCAAUGGGGGGAACCCUGACGCAGCGACGCCGCGUGAAGGAAGAAGGCCUUCGGGUUGUAAACUUCUUUGACUGGGGACGAAGGAAGUGACGGUACCCAGGGAACAAGCCACGGCUAACUACGUGCCAGCAGCCGCGGUAAUACGUAGGUGGCGAGCGUUGUCCGGAAUUACUGGGUGUAAAGGGCGCGUAGGCGGGUGAGUAAGUCAGGUGUAAAAACAAUCGGCUCAACCGGUAAGUAGCACUUGAAACUGCGCAUCUUGAGUACUGGAGAGGGAAGCGGAAUUCCUAGUGUAGCGGUGAAAUGCGUAGAGAUUAGGAGGAACACCAGUGGCGAAGGCGGCUUUCUGGCCAGCAACUGACGCUGAGGCGCGAAAGCGUGGGGAGCAAACAGGAUUAGAUACCCUGGUAGUCCACGCCGUAAACGAUGGAUACUAGGUGUAGGUGGUAGAAAACCAUCUGUGCCGGAGUAAACACAAUAAGUAUCCCACCUGGGGAGUACGGUCGCAAGGUUGAAACUCAAAUGAAUUGACGG
rnacentral:rRNA from 1 species